rnacentral:rRNA from 2 species
GGGGAAUAUUGGACAAUGGACGAAAGUCUGAUCCAGCGACGCCGCGUGGAGGAAGAAGUCCUUCGGGAUGUAAACUCAUGAAGCUAACGAAUAAGACGGAAGGGGAACCUUCCGGGAGAAGGUAAUUAGUGAAAAGCCCCGGCUAACUACGUGCCAGCAGCCGCGGUAAUACGUAGGGGGCGAGCGUUGUCCGGAAUUAUUGGGCGUAAAGGGUGCGUAGGCGGCUGAACAAGUCAGAUGUGAAAGGCUAUGGCUUAACCAUAGUUAGCAUUUGAAACUGUAUUACUUGAGUGCAGGAGAGGUAAGUGGAAUUCCUAGUGUAGCGGUGAAAUGCGUAGAUAUUAGGAGGAACACCAGUGGCGAAGGCGACUUACUGGACUGUAACUGACACUGAGGCACGAAAGCGUGGGGAGCAAACA